rnacentral:rRNA from 1 species
AUUAAACCAUCUGGGGAAUGGCUCGGUUCGGGCGCCGAAGAAGGUCGUGCCAAGCUGCGAUAUGCACCGGGUAAGCGCAAGGAGCUUUUGAUCCGGUGAUGACCGAAUGGGACUUCCUGCUCUUCGGAGCAAUCCGUGAGGAUAGGGAACCGGGGGGAUUGAAGCAUCUUAGUACCCCGAGGAAAAGAAAUCAAUCGAGAUUCCGUCAGUAAAGGCGAUCGAACGCGGAAGAGGGCAAACUGAAUCCUCCCAGGAAACUGGGCGGAGAUGUGGUGUAUGGACUCUGGUACAUCUUAACUUGUUAACCCGAAAUCGACUGGAAUGUCGUGCCAUAGAGGGUGACAGCCCUGUAGGGAUACGCGAGAAAGAUGAUUCUAGAUGUUCCUGAGUAUUGCGCCUUGGAUAUGGCGUGAGAAGUCGGGAGCCAUUUGCUCCCAACCCUAAAUACGACCCGAGACCGAUAGUGCAGUAGUAGUGUGAACGAAAGCUGAAAAGUACCCUUAGCGGGAGGUGCAAAGAGCCUGAAACCAGAUGGUGACUUUAUUAUACGGCGUGAAAGGGACGAAACUCGCAAGAGUGGACCGACGUCGUAUUAUCCGUUUCGAAUAACGGGCCAGGGAGUUCGGACCGAUGGCGAGGUUAAUUGGAUAACCAAGCAACCACAGGGAAACCGACAAGUCCGCAACACGCAAGUGUGAGGGACGAGGUGGGCUCGCCUGUAGUCAUCGGUGAGAGACCCGAAGCCAGUUGAUCUAGGCGCGGAUAGGUUGAAGCCCAGGGAAACCUGGGUGGAGGACCGAACCCGUUAUGAGGUGCAAAUCUUUGGGAUGAUCUGCGUCUAGGGGUGAAAGGCCAAUCUAAACUGGACAUAGCUGGUCCCCCCCGAAACUACUCGCAGGUAGAUCUCAGACGAGGUGGACGAUGGGGUAGAGCGACCGAUUAGGCAUUUAGGUGGAGAAAUCCGUCGGUGCCUUGCCAAACUCCGAACCUGUCGUCACUGAAGACUCUGGGAGUGAGUGUAUGAGGGGUAAGCUCCAUACGCAAAAGGGGAACAACCCAGCCUCAAGUUAAGGUCCCUAAGUGCUGACUAAGUGUGAACGGGCAAAAGGAGUCCUUUGUCUCAGACAACUGGGAUGUGGGCUUAGAAGCAGCCAUCAUUCAAAGAUAGCGUAACAGCUCACCAGUCAAGAUAAAGGGCCCUGAAAAUGGACGGGGCUAAGUCAGCCACCGAUACUUGAGAGCACCGAAAGGUGAUCUGGUAGGGGGGCGUCGUGUGCGGGCAGAAGUUCGGUCUUGAGAUCGAAUGGACCGCAUUCGAAUGAGGAUCCUGGUGGUAGUAGCAGCAAAGAACGGUGAGAAUCCGUUCAGCCGUAGGGGCAAGGGUUCCUCGACAAUGUUCGUCAGUCGAGGGUUAGUCGAUCCUAAGGUGUUCCUUAAUCGAGAACACCGAAAGGGCAAGCAGGUUAAUAUUCCUGCACCACUGCAGUCUCUGCGCGCACUCGGACGCAUCUGGGUAAGUUGAGCAGGAGCGCCAAUCUGUUCAAGUGUAUAUCCUGGGGAAGAACCGUAAUGGUGAGAACCCGGGGAAAUCACGAGUAGGAGGGUGAAGGCCCUCUUCAGCCUAUCCCCGGUGCCCGUGAAAAGGAGUGCGCUAAACAACUGUGGUGUUCGUACCAAGAUCCGACACAGGUGCCCCUGGUUGAGAAGACCAAGGCUUGUCGGCGUUAAUUGACGCGAGGGAACUCGGCAAAUUAGCCACGUAACUUAGGGAGAAGUGGUGCCAGCUCAGUGAUGAGCUGGUCGCAGUGACAAGGGAGCCCCGACUGUUUAACCAAAACAAAGGUGGCAGCUAGUCCGAAAGGAUGCGUAUUGCCGCUGAAACCUGCCCAGUGACGGUAUCUGAAAACCCUUUUCAAGGGGAAGAAGGACCGUUAAACGGCGGGGGUAACUAUGACCCUCUUAAGGUGACUGCGUUGCCUUAGUAAAAUUCGGCCAUAUGCUGGGACGCCUGAGUAUCUCACGCUACUCUAUGAGUGAAAAUGCGUGAGUGCAGGUAAUCAGCAGGAAAGGCCAGAUCGAUGAUCUGGAAUCCUCAGAGACUAUGCGCCGAACGCCAACUGAUGGCGAAGAUAUAGUCCGACCCGCAUGGCGACAUGCGGAGAUCAUGAGAAAUCAUGGUCCGCCUCCGAGAGCUCGGAGGUCAAGAAAGCAACAGAAGUGAGCGUAAUACCUUGUCGCUUAAUUGGCGACUUGCAUGAAGGCCCAACGAGAGCUCUACUGUCCCCGCGUCGAAGCCGGUGAAACCUACUUAACGGAGCACUGUCCGUUAUCUUCCAGCUGAAAGCGAAGACCCCGUGGAGCUUUACUGCAACCUGUCGUUGUGGUAUGAGUUUGAAUGUGUAGCGUAGGCGGGAGUCGUUACCAGGGCUGACCGCUAGGUCAGUUCCGAGACAACUAUGAAACACCGCCCUCUUGGACUCGUAUCACUUACAUCUUCGGAUGGACACCGGUAGGUGGGCAGUUUGGGUGGGGCGCCACGCCCUCAAAAAGGUAACAAGGGCGCCCAAAGGUCGGCUCAGGUAGGUCAGAAAUCUACCGAAGAGUGCAAGGGCAAAAGCCGGCUUGACGUGGUUCAGCCCAACAAUGAACCACGAUGAGAAAUCAGGGCCUAGCGAACCACUGUGCCUCACAAAUGGGGGCCAGUGAUUACAGAGAAGUUACCCCGGGGAUAACUGAGUCGUCUCCAGCAAGAGUUCAUAUCGACCUGGAGGCUUGCUACUUCGCCGUCGGUUCUUCCUAUCCUGGUGGUGCAGCAGCUGCCAAGGGUGGGGUUGUUCGCCCAUUAAAAGGGAUCGUGAACUGGGUUCAGACCGUCGUGAGACAGGUUUGUUGCUUUUUGCUGGAAGUGUUUUGAUGCCUGACGGGAAGGAUCCUUUAGUACGAGAGGAACGAGGAUUCGUCGCCUCUAGUCUAUCAGUUGUCUGGCAAGGCAAUGCUGAGCAGCCACGCGAUAGUGGAUAAAAGCUGAAAGCAUCUAAGCUUGAAGCUACCCCGAAAACGAGGCAUCUUACAGCCGCCAUUACAUGAUGGCGUUGAUAGAGCCGGGAUGUAAGUGUCAAGGUCCGCCGAGACAUUCAGUCCGCGGCCACUAACCGCUGUAGUCGCUAAC